GACACACGCAUACACACACACAGACACACACACACACACGGUCACACACACAAUCACACACGCGCGCGCACCGCCCGCUGAGGGCACCGGGCGGCGGAGGGCGAAGUUGGGCGUUCGGAGUGAACGUGAGUUGUCAGGAGAGCGUGGAAAGAAGAUAUUUAUCGCAUUAGCCCUGCACGAUCAAGGAGAAGGCUGGCUGUUUGAGGAUGCUUUAUUAAUGAAUGCUAGAGGACAUCCACCCCUCCUAAGGCACAAACUGGGGAGGCAGUCACUCCUGAAGCCGUGGAAUUCCCUCGCAAGAAGAAGAGGAUUUUUUAACCCAUAUGCAUAAUCCACGCAGGCAUUUUAAUU